GUUGAACGCUGGCGGCAUGCUUUACACAUGCAAGUCGAACGGCAGCACGGGCUUCGGCCUGGUGGCGAGUGGCGAACGGGUGAGUAAUAUAUCGGAACGUACCCAAGAGUGGGGGAUAACGUAGCGAAAGUUACGCUAAUACCGCAUACGAUCUACGGAUGAAAGUGGGGGAUCGCAAGACCUCAUGCUCCUGGAGCGGCCGAUAUCUGAUUAGCUAGUUGGUGAGGUAAAGGCUCACCAAGGCGACGAUCAGUAGCUGGUCUGAGAGGACGACCAGCAACACUGGAACUGAAACUCGGUCGAGACUCCGACGGGGGGCAGCGGUGGGGAAUUUUGGACAAGGGGCGCAAGCCUGAUCCAGCAAUGCCGCGUGAGUGAAGAAGGCCUUCGGGUGGUAAAGCUCUUUUGUCAGGGAAGAAACGGUAGAGGCUAAUAUCCUUUGCUGAUGACGGUACCUGAAGAAUAAGCACCGGCUAACUACGUGCCAGCAGCCGCCGUAA
rnacentral:rRNA from 1 species